rnacentral:rRNA from 1 species
ACACGACUACAUUAGAUACCCCUGUAGUCCCAGCCCUAAACGAUGCGCGUUAGGUGUAUCGGUGACCACGAGUCACCGAGGUGCCGAAGGGAAACCGUGAAACGUGCCGCCUGGGAAGUACGGUCGCAAGGCUGAAACUUAAGGAAUUGGCGGGGGAGCACCACAACGGGUGGAGCCUGCGGUUUAAUUGGACUCAACGCCGGGAAGCUCACCGGAUAAGACAGCGGAAUGAUUGCCGGGCUGAAGACCCUGCAUGACCAGUCUG